CAGAUCAAUUGGGAUAGUUAUAAUCUAGUCUCUGUGAAAGACUUGAGGACCUGCUUUGUUAUCAAGCUCACUACGGGGAGGAGGGGAGAGAGAGGUUGCAGCUACAAGAUUUUUUAGCUGGAGUCAGUCAAAGGAAUCAAUCAAUAAGAGGAGAUCCCAGUUGGGGCCAGAUCCUGCAGAGUGCAGGUGCGGGGAGGUGCACAUGCAAGCAAUGAGCUGGCCCGAAUGGGCGGGGAACCUCAUCCUCCCUUAAUGACAGUACUACUGGGCAGACGCCACCUUCUUCCUGUCUAGCAGCCGAUCAUUAGCACCAUGCACUCCAGACACUG